UUUAACAGAAUCUGCUCAUGGACCAGAAGAUGCAAAUAAUUUCAAUGGGCAGUUCAGAUUUUUGCUUAAGAUUUGGUUUUUAGGAGCAAAAGGGAAAAAAGAAACCUGCCAAUGGUGGAAUACAGGGCCAAGCCAACAGCUCACUCUAAAAUUACCAUCAUGUUAUAUCAGAGAAAGAUUACAGUUUUUUUUUUUCUGGUAGCCUUAUUCCUAAACUGUAUUAAGCUUAAACAUGAUGAAGGGGUUGUUGGAGAACAGGUGGUGUUCUGGUUUUGAUCUGGCUGCUGAAUAUUUUCAGCUGGGUGAAAAUUCACCCUUAUUAUUUAACGUGUUUACUUUUGAGUAUUCAUGCAUGUUUCAAUAAAUGUUUUUUUUAAAUUCACGAGCUAUCUUCACAUAUAGAUAGAGAAGACCGGGGAAUGGCUGCGAGUAUACUUUAACAAGUGGUUAAAACCUUGGGAUGCUUGCUGCAUGAACCCCAAAAAGACAUAAACUUUCCUUUAAAAGUCUACUAAUACAAGCUUGUCAUGAUCGUGCACAUCUGUGAUCCCAGUGCUCAAGAGCCUGGGGCAGGAGAAGCUCAAGCUCAAGGCCAUCUUACACUAGCAAGAACAAUGGGGAGACGAUCCUGUUUCCUUGCUUUCUGACCCAAGGCCAAGGAGUUUUCUUGGGAACCUGUGGUCUUACUGAGAAGAACUCUCUUAUGUAUGCAAGCUUCUAGAUCAUUCUCCUCUUCAGGACCCCCUACUAAAGGAAAAUACCUCAGCCAACACUUGCAGAAGGUUGACUGAUUUGAAAUACUUGCCUCGAGUUAUUUUUGCUCUGAGUACGUCAUCCAUUUCUUGUGCAUGAAUCUGUUUUUAGUGCCUCUCAAAAGUUCCACCCCUUUUAAAACUUUUUUGUCCUAAUCAAACACUUCUUCAACCAUUAGUCUCCUUUUUUCACUACAGCUGACUGAGCUUUCAAACAUGCCUUUCUGAAGCAGAGCCUUGAUGA